GAUGAAGAACGCAGUGAAAUGCGAUAAGUAAUGCGAAUUGCAGAAUUUCCGUGAGUCAUCGAAUCUUUGAACGCACAUUGCGCCCACUGGUAUUCCGGUGGGCAUUCCUGUUCGAGCGUCAUUAUCCUCCCUCAAACCUCGGGUUUGGUGUUGGACCCAAGUUGUGUGAACAACUGGUCUUAAAGACAAUGACGGCGUCCGUGGGACCCUCGGUGCAACGAGCUUUUAGGAGCACGCGCCGAGUUUCAAGGACCUUCCGGGCCGGUCUCCUUUACCAUUUUACAAGGUUGACCUCGGAUCAGGUAGGAAUACCCGCUGAACUUAAGCAUAUCAAUAAGCGGAGGA
rnacentral:misc_RNA from 1 species